ensembl:lncRNA
CAAAGCCUGGUUUCUUCUCUUAGUCCCACCUCAGCUCUGCCUAUGAAGCCAUCCCUCCAUCUGACCUCCAAAGAGCAGCCUUUGUUCAUUCCAUGCAGAUGUCCUGAAUGCACACCCUGUGCAAAGGGGCGUAAACUGAGCACUUGUGGUUUCAUCCAGUUCUGGAAGAAGUGGCUGUGCAAUGGAAGGAGCCACUGUGAAUCACCAGAGUGGGGGGAAAAAAUGCAGAUUGAAAUAAACAGAGAGGCAACUGGAAAUGACGAGCAUGAGCAGGCGAUGACUAAGGGACAGAUCAGUGCGUCAGACAAGGAGCUCUUAUGGAGGUGGCUUGGAGGUGGGCAGGAGACCGGAAGAAAGAGCUAUCAUUACACUUUCAUGAUUGUGUGCCCACGUCCACCCAUGCAAAAAAAGGAGGCACUGGCGAGCAAUGAUGCCAAGUACGCUAGUGUCUGUGAAGACGAAACACCUUCAGCACUAGGAAUUACUCUGCACCUUCUUCCGCCAGUCAGCCUUUCACCAGUCCUGCACUGAGGACUGGGGACAGCUCUCAACUUCCUGUUCUCAGCCUUCCCUUCCCUGUGCCUCCCAAUCCAUGUUUACCAUCAGAGCAGAAAGAAUUUGGAGAAAGGAAUGCCUUGGUCUAAGGAGACGAUACUGAGCUGGAUGGCACUUUCUCAAAUGUUGGAAGUGCUUUUUGCUGAAGAGAUUCUGUCCAGGUCCUUGUGUAAAGUGACUCGACUCUACACGUGUAUACUCUGAGUCACCUCCAGGGGGAGUACACAUUGGACUGGAAAUCAAAGAACAGUGGAGUCUUCUUCCAAUUUUACUUGGAUUCCAGGUAUCAAACUCAGGUUUCUAUUGCCGUGAUGAAACACCAUGACCAAAAAGGACAAAUGGAAAACGGAAAAUAGAAGCAAAGGGCCUGGGAGUGUGACUCAGACUGGCCUGACAUACACAAGGCUGAGUGAAAGGAGCAACGCAGAGAAAGAGACAAAUCCAGAGCGCCUGGUGGAAUGCCGGAAGAAGGGGGAGUAAGCUGUGAGAAGGGUCAAGUGCGGAGUAAUGGAAGCUGGAGUCUGGAAGAGGAGACUGGAGCAUGCGAAAGGCAGACGUGAGGAAUGCGGACAGAGACCAGCUCACUUGAGCGUUUCCUCUGCAGCAUGAGCUGGUCUGCAAGAGCUGCACCCAAGAAAGGGUGGAAGCCUCUGAGAGCCAGGAAGUGUUCUAGGUGCUGUAUUGCUUCAUCACUAAUAAUCUCAGCUACUUGGAAAGAGUCCAGAGGAUGGUGACAGGGAGAGUGGUGAUGGAUGGUGACCCCGCCUAUUUGCCAUCUCCCGGCUCCUUCCUCCUUCGCUGCUCUAACAGGGAUGGUGACCAAAGCUGGAACUUGUAGUGGUUGGAGGGGAGGGAGAGCAGCCUUUUUUCACACAUUCCUGCAAUCCCAUGUCGCCUUUCCUCCUCUGUUUGGCUGCCACACCCAGUUCCCAUCAAUUCAGGGAUGUGAUUAUCAGGAGAAAUGGCCAAAAGUGCCUCACCAACUAUUACAGAAAGAAUGACUCAGGACCUCCUGACGUUGUUGUUUGGAACCUUCCGUGGUGAUAGUUAACAGUAUCCCAGAUCCUGGACCAGAUAUUCUGCACAUUUUUCACAGCAUCAUGUAUGACAAGCAGUUCAGCUUGCAUGGGGAAUAGAUACUGCUACAAUGCAGCCUGUUUGACAAGUGAGAAAACAGCAUGGCGUUGUGCCUCUUCUUAUCCAUAUUUUGCCUUCCAAUAAGACACCUUACUAUAUUGAAAACCCCAGACCUCCUUCUGGAAAAGGCCUUAGACAUGGUGGAUUCUAGCCUCUCACAUGAAGCAGGUAUCAUUCUGUGGCUUGAACAGUCUUGGACUCAACAGGUAGCCUGCUCCAUUGUGCAUCGCUCUAACUGAAUCAAACCCUGAGGCUUGUUUCCCAGGCAGCCCAGAGAAAACAUAGCCAUGAAGGUGGAAAGGCUCCCAGUUCUCCCAGCAUAUGCAAGUCCUCACUGGGAUGAGCAAGAGAAGGACCAUUUCCUAACCUGACCAGGAAGAAAGACAACACCACGCUCCAGUGGGGUCCUGGAAAAGGUGGCUCUUAGGCUCUGACUCCGAGAAACCAUAGACGGUUUGUCAGCCUUAAAUCACCCAGAGGGAGGACACUGGCAUGUUGCGCCCUGGGGAUACCGUUAGGUCAAGUCCAAAACUGUUCAGCAAACAUUUGUUUAGAUCCAAAAAUGGAUAUCAAAAUGCCGAAGCCCAUCUCUGCAGGUGGUGACUCACAAAUCAGUUUGAAAGCACAAGGUACCCCUGGAAAUGGCUUCCUUGUCCAAUCUUAACGAGCCUAGCUGGCUACAUUUCUGGUUUCCCUUCAGGCUGGUGGACAGACCCACCAAGGCCUUAUCAGCUAGCUACAACACCUGGAGGGGGCUCAGUGGUCUUUUCCCACUCCCAUGCCCACCAUCUGGGCUGUGUCCCCUGAAGAGGGAUGGGACAUUUGCUCAGAGAGACAUGGGCAGCGCAUUUCUAUUGAAAAAGGCCUGUAAGGUAACCAGGGACAUUGCUGGCCAGGAGAUAGCUGCCUGGAAGUAACAACCAACCUCUUGAGAACCUGCUUAUCCAGGUGACAGCCACCAGCACUGUUGCUCUGCCCUCCUGGGCAUGUGUAUGGAGAGCAGGCAAGCAGAGACAGGAACUUUCCUGAGAACUCAGGAAACUAUAAAUAAAAAAGAAAAUAGGAACCAAACCUUUUCACACUAAAGGGAGUCCGCAUAUGGAAGAAGUUACUGGAACAAAAAGUCAGCAAGGGACAUAAAUGAGUUCACCAUACAUCUUGCUCAGUCGGCUAGAACAAGGCCCAGAGGGACGCAGAAUAAGAAAGGAGAGAAUAGGCCACGAUCUCCCUUUCUUUAUCAGUUAUACAUUCAUUGGUUCCACAAAAAUGUCAGAGAAACUAGGCACUUGAAAUGUGAGAUAGAAGGAUCAUGGGUUCAAGGCUAGCUUGGGCUACACAGUGGAAUCUUGUCUUUAAAAACAAUAAUACGAGGGCUGGAGAGAUGGCUCAGAGAGUAAGAGCCUCCUCGGCUGCUCUUCAAGGGGAGUCGGAGUCAAUUCCCAGAACACACAUGGAGGCUCACAUCAUAACCACCUCUAAUUCCAAUCCCAGGGAUACAUAUGAUGUCCUUGUGUGGCCUCCUUGAGCACUGCAUGGCUGUGUGCCACAGCCAUGCAUUUGGGUGAACACUCAUGCAUAUAAAAUAAAAAUAAAUACCCCCCCAAAGAUUUAGAAAUGUGAUUUAAAAGUAAAAACAAUGGUAUAAGGACUGAGAAUUUAGCUCAGUGGGUAAGAACACUUGUGCAACCGUGAGGACCUGAGUUUAGACCCCCCCUCCCACAGCACCCACGUAAAAAUCUGAGUGUGACUGUAUACUCUGUAACCCCAGCAGUGUGGGGAGAGCAGACAGGAGGGAUGCUGCCAUUUUAUGGCCACCAGCCUAGCUGGAUAAACAAAAGUUCAGUGAGAAGCUAUAUCUCCAGGGAUUAAGAUGGGGAGCAAUAGAUAAGGAUAUCCAAUGUUCUCUUGGCUCUGUACACACAGGUACACACACACACACACACACACACACACACACACACACACACACUGAUGACUACCUACUAGACAGCCAUUGUGCCAGAUUCCAAGGAACAAGGAUGAAAUAAAGCCUGGUCCCUGUUCUUAAAUUUCCCACUGAGUAGUGUUGUCAUUGCCUAGGGCUUUUUCAGUUUUAGGGUUCUAUUAUAAGUCUCUCAGGAGGCACUGGUGAGAUGGCUCAGAAGUUAAGGGCAUUGUCUGCCCUUGCAGCGGACCCAGAUGCAAUUCCCAGCAGCCACAUAGUGGCUUACAACGGGCUGUUAACUCCAGACCUAGAGGAUCUGACAUCCUCUUCCGGCCUCUGUGGGCAUGGCAUGGAUAUAAUGCAUACACAUACAUACAUGUAGGUGGAAUAGCCAUAUACAAAAAAGUGAGUCUUUUUUGUAAGCAAUAGCCUGGCUUUUAAAAGCAAGACACACCCACCUAUAGUUCAGGGCACUGUUUUUACAGGGUUCAAAAGUAUUUGAUCACUGGCUAAUUGGAAAUUUAAGCAAGAGGGCAAUAACCAUGAAGCCUAGCAUUUUGUGGGGGUAGCCUGUACUUUCCUGUAAUUUGGAGAAUGUUUAUGUAUGAAGGAAAAUAAGACAAUUGACUAUCCCAGACAUUUUUACUUUCAGCUUAUUAAAUAAAAAGAAAACAUUUUUUAAAAUUGUAUAUAGUCUGUGUGUGUGUGAGAGAGAGAGAGAGAGAGAGAGAGAGAGAGAGAGAGAGAGUGUGUCAUAGCCCUUGUGUGAAAAUCAGAGGCCAACAUUUAAAAAUCUAUUCUCUCCUUCUACUGUGUGUGGAAAUCAGGUAUGGAAAUCAGGCUUUCAGAAUUGGCAGCAAGUGCCUUUACCAGCUGAACCACCUUGCUGAACAACAAAAAAAAAGUCAACUAUUAAGAAAAAAACAAAACUAAAAACACUUCAAAUCACAAAAAAAGUUAUCAUCAUAGUUAAAUUUACUGUAUACAUUUAAAUUACAUUUUGAGCUACCAUUAUAAUAUUGCAUAUUUUUAAAAGAUUUUCCAUUAACUCAGGGUUUUGUUUUGUUUUAACACGCCAUGUAGGAAUAUGGAGGCUGAAACCUCAUAUCUGGAGCAAGAAGUCAUCCACUACAACCCCAGAAUUUCCUAAAGUUAGCAAAUCUGCCAACAUUGGUGGUUUUGGGCCAUUUCCCACACAGCAGCUCUGCCCCGCAGAGGCCAGAGCCCAUAUUCAGUGAGGCUCAAACCUACAGAUUCAAGCUGUGUUGAGCAGUACCACCUGGAAAGGUAAAAGUGUAAAAACAGCAUAAAAAGUAAACUUGAACUCCACAUCCCAAAUGCAGAAAGAGCAGCGUUCUGUCUGUUUUUCCAUAGCGUGCCCUGCAGGAGGGGACAAUUCGG